ACAGUUCCCUCUGAUUUGCUGAAACUGAACAGCUUCCCAGGGCUGAAUGUCCUAUUGGGGGACUGUGACCUCUCCGGGCCACUCGAGGGAGAGGUGGAGGUCCCUGUGGAGCCUUGCGCUCCGGUUGCCACUGCUGGCUCUUUUUUCACCUCAGGCGACUUCAAGAACUUCAGAAACCCUGGGAGCUUCGCCUCUCCUCCCGUCGGGGACUGGGCUGGUGAGCGUGAGGUGCCGGAGGAGAACUUCCCCUGGAGAGGGAUGAUCUGCUUUAGCUUCAUCACGUUGUUGUUCCCCAACAGGGAGCUGGGUCUCUUGGGCUUAUCUCCCGCCUUUCCCCCCGAUGCUUUGUCAUGGUGGUGCUGGUGCUGGGCGUCGGCCCUGUGCUCACUCUCCUGACGGGCCUCCGCCUGAAGCUCGGCCUGGCGCUGAAGUUCCUCCUCGCGCCGGCGUCUGAGCUGGUGUUGAAAGUGCUGCUGGGCCUGCUGUUCAUGCUUCUGAAGGAGAGGUGUGUUAAAAUGAAGACACAAUAGGAGAAGGAGUCACAGGUAGAAAAAGAAACACACAGUGAUAGAGACAGUAGAAGGCUUCCAUAAACAAAAUGUGUUUACAAUAAACGUGUUUUUCUAUCUUGAUAAGACAUAUCUAAGACAACAACAGGACAAGUGCUGCUGAUGUGAUACUUUAUACAGACACACACAUACAGUUAUUUCUACUGGAAGUCAGAAAGAGCUGCACCAGUCUAUAUUUGUUGCCAAAUGAACACAAAGAGACCCGGGGACACAAAGGUGUUCGUAUAUAGAAAUACGAUUCCAGCAAGCCUUGGUUUGGCCGAAGGUCUUUCAAGCUAUGACACAAUCAUACCUUGAAAGCUUCCCUUCGUCGGUACUCUAGCUUGGCCAUCUCUUCUGCUACCCAGCCAGGGAUAUCAGGGAUGGCAACAUGGAUGAUGUACUUUAGGAGGAUUGCAAAGUGCUGUAAACCACCGAGACCACAAAGGGACAGGCUCAACACAGUGCAAGUAGAGUGCGCACCUCCAGUAAGACGAUGGAGAUGAUGGUCAUCUCGGGACUCAACCAGGGGAACAGACGCUGCAGCUGCCCACACUGACCAAUCAGUUCCAAGCAGAGCAGCAUGGCGAGGAAGACGAAGCAGAGGCAGAGGAUGCAGAUUGGCAGGCUGACCAGCCAUCUGAACAUCGCUCUCUUCCAGGGCGGGUAGUAGAACUCUUCGCAGCCCGUUACUGGGCUGCAGUGCUUCACGCCCUGCAGAGAUGGAGAAGGAGAAAACAAGAAAGCAGGGAGGGUAUCAGACUCUAUUUUUAUAUCUGCAAUCAUCUACAAGAAAAAUGGAUUUGAAAUUAUUGUGCAAAAUGUACUGCAUAAUAACAGCUUGCUCGCCUGAUUGCAUUUAUAUUUAUGGUGUUUCAUGUCAGGUUAAAGAAAUACUCCCUCAUUCUGCAAACGACCCAUUUCAGAAUGAUAAAUAUUUUUAUAUUAGUGAACCAUAAAAGAAAUGUGUUCAUCACUUUAAUGUACAGCUGGUAGAUGGUGGAAGUGUGUGUCCCUGUGAGUGUGUGUGGUUUUAGUAAUGCUAACCCUGUGUGAAGAGGAGGGUCUGCAUUCUGCAAACAUCAAUGCCCAAAUGUCCUUAUUACAGAUAUAAAGUUUACCUUGAGCUGCAAAAAAAUACAAUAUUUGUUUUUGGAUAUUGUGGAGACUUGGGUGGCAGUUUAUGGCAAUAGUCAAGAUACUUCAAAAUACUUGAACAAAAACCACCAAUCCCACAUAAGCAAUUGCAAUCACAUAGGUUUUUUUCAUAUCAUUAUGGUAUAUGAUUCUGAAUCAACACGGUUAUUGGUCCAAGAAUUUUCUUCCUAAAAAUGUUUACGCCCAACGUGGGGCUCGAACCCACGACCCUGAGAUUAAGAGUCUCAUGCUCUACCGACUGAGCUAGCCGGGCCUGAUCCAGCUUUCACACACAUGUCUUCUUGUUGGGGCGUCCCACAGUCCCCCUCCCCUUGUAUCUCUAUUCAUUCCACACAACAGGAGGUGGAGUAAGGCGGGAAAGAGGCUGCCCCCUCCCAAUCCUCUGAGACCACGUGGGGUAUUAAGACACUCUACUUGUAGACAUAAGGAUCACAUUUCCUGGUAUUGUGUGCCACUGAAAAGUUGCGCAAGUGCACGCUGAUCAACCACUCAGACUGACAUACAUUGCAAGUUUACGUUAGGAUAGGGAGAUAAUACAUUUAAAUGUCUGUAGGUAAUAUGAUUGAUGCAUGAGACUUUGUGAGAAGUUUUUAGCUUUAUCAAAGAGUGGCGAUGAAUGCUUGAUCGUAAAACUAGGCAAAUACAGCAGGAAGGAAUACAACGUUUUACUAAACCACAACAAAAACACCACCUGCUCAAACUUCAGUAACAAUCCUUACCCUGAACUGUGGCCUGGGCUCCUCCAAAGACUCGGCGGGGGUGUCCAGGGUGCCCCACCUGUACGCCAGCUCUGCCUCUCUCCUCUUCCAGCGCUCCAGAAACAACGUCGCCCACACAACAUUGAAGAGGGCAAAAACCACACAGCAGAUAUCCUGACUGGUCUGGGUUGCCUUUCACACACAGCCUGGACCCAAGACGUCAUCAGCUGGUUGAGGAUCCUCUGCUCGUGGAGAGGAAACAUUUGAUGGAUCACCCCCCGAGCCACCAGCUCUGGAACUAAAGAGGACACAUCAUGAAACAUUACAUUCGGAACAUAUUGACAAAUGUUGUCCCUCCAGGAAGUGAAUGUUGUGGAGCACCUCCCCCUGUUUGGCUCGCAGAUUGUCCAGCCAAUACUUUAUGAUGCCCUGACGCUCCUGCAAACCAUUACAGGAAAAGCGCCGCAUCCCGCCACCAAACUGCGGUUUGACAGCCUUGUACAUGCCCAUCUGCUCGGCUCCCCGCAGGAGGCUGAGGGUGAGGAGAGAGGGGUAAUGAACAGCAGGAUUAAACCUGAUGGAGCACUCACACUGUGGUGAGCUGGACUGCAGAUGUUUGACGGAUUAAGGGUACGCAAACAACAAACUGUAACACUAACAGCUCUAACUGAGUGAUAAUUCUUAGUGGAUUUUUUCCUUCAUUUCCUGAAGCCUGCUCAAAGAAAUAGUUUGCCAUAUUGGUAGAUGAAACAGUUGUUGCCACUUUCAGGUGUGUGCACUAAAUAUGAAGCUAGAGCUGCUAGUCAAUUAGCUUAGCUUAGCACUAUAACUGGAAUGCAUGACUGAGUAGAAAAAGUUACCCUGUCCCUGUCCAAAAAUAAUAAUGGCAGUUUAAUAACAACAAUUUGUGAUUUCACAAGUUUUUAUUAUGUUGAACUAUUCCUUUUCCUUUAACAGGGGCAUUUAAAACAAAAACAAAAAAAUGCAAACACAUAUGGCUGACUGAUCCUAAUUAACAUCAUUAACUAUUUCCUUGAAUAUGCAGUUAAAUGCUAAGUUAAAAGUUUUCGGAUAACCAAAAAAACAUAAGACAGAAUUUUAAGUGCCCACACAUGCAUGCACUAACACACACACUCACACAGUCAGAGUGUGAGUUUUGGAGUUUGGAGUCUUACUUCUCAAACGUUGUCGUGAUGAAGAAGGCGUUUGCCUGGGUGUGUUUGUGCUGCCGGACCUGAAUGCUAACUUGUGGGAUUCCUACACGGAUCUGGUUUAGGAGCCACAGCAGAGUGUGGUCAUCUAUUGUAUCUGGAGGGAGAGGAGAAAGUGUUUUAGUUUAAGUCUCAUAGUGGAUCCGAGCAUAGAAAUAAAUAUUUCAAAACAAAAGGUUUUUUUGGUUUAACACUAGUUCUUUACAUGUUUGCAGAGAUGUUUGCCAAAAGCAGGAAGUGAUGAUAUAAAGAGGCUGAACCCGACCCUUCUUUCACCGCCCCGACAGAAGGGUGUAGAAGCAGUGGGCUGGUGGUGUUAGUUAAAAGUCACUCCGACUAAAUCGCUCUAUAAAUAUAUCACAGAGUAAUUUCCUAUAGUUUGAAUAGAAGGGCCAGACUGCUUCCAGACGUUUCUGCCAUCUGUAGCCAGGAUAUUGUGUUUCAAUUUGGCUACUUUGUGUACCUUUUGUAUCAUCAUAAUGAGACUAGUUGAUACCUUCAAUUGAACAAACUGACAUUUAAAGGAAAGUGACUGAUAUUUCUACUGUGUAUGGGCUGAAUGUUAGCUAACAGCUCUUUCCGUGAUAUUUAGCAUUAGGUUUUUAACUGGUUAAUAUUUAUAAUCAUAAAAACAAACAAUGUUACCUAAAUGUAUCUUGUAUACUUAAAUGUAGCCUUUUUUAAACCAGAAAAUCUACAUUUAAGUAUACUUGCUUUACACCUCAACUAAAACCUGUGAGAAUUGCAUUAUAAGUUUCAAGCAGUAUUUUAUAUUAUUUUUAAGGUAUACAUACAUAGUUUAUAUGGAAGCAAUGAAAGCAGUUGAAGUGAAAAAGAUAGUGUGUAAAAAAAGUGUCAG